GAACGAUUUAUUUGCAAGUAACAAAAAACACAGAAACACUAUCAUAAACUGACUGUCAAAAUUCUUAAUAACAAAAUAUUUAAUGUAAAAAUUGUACUUGAUUAUAUGGAAUAAGUGAAAAAAUUUACCUUAAAAAAAGUGAGCUAGAUUAUUCUCAUAAAAAUAUCACAGUCGUUUAAAUGGCACGCUCAACAUCACAGAAACUAACAGCACAUCAACAAAUAUAUUAAGUAAACCUGUAUCUUAAGGCACUUGUUCAGGUCAUGGUUUGGUUACUGCAGGGUCAGGUCACACUGACAAGUUUGGACUGUGUGUUUAGGUCACACUGACAAGUUUGGACUGUGUGUUUAGGUCACACUGACAAGUUUGGACCGUGUGUUUAGGUCACACUGACAAGUUUGGACUGUGUGUUUAGGUCACACUGACGAGAUUGGACUAUGUGUUUAGGUCACACUGACGAAAUUGGACUGUGUGUUUAGGUCACACUGACGAAAUUGGACUAUGUGUUUAGGUCACAUGGACAAGUUUGGACCAUAUGCUGUGGCAAGUUCGACACAACCCUUAAGUGUGGUGGACAUAUAUAGUCACAUUUCUAUUUCUUGCCGAGUAAAAAGUGAUUUGACAUGCUUAGAGUUGGAGAAACUUAUAUGAUCUCUGCUCGAUAUGUGCCCAACAUGCAGUUUACUCAAGUUCUUUUUGAGGGUUUUAUAUUUCAUCCAAAAUCAUAUCUUGGUCAUAUUAAAUUCCAACCGGUUUGUAAGACAUACCCAGAUUAACCCCUUUGGGCUCUCUAGAUAGUUUCACUCAAAUAACUGGCCCCUAGGGGCAAAUAUGAUAACAUGACUGCGGUUCUCUUUAAUUGAACAUAGGAAUGUUUCACCAGUUUUAACUUAGACUGAUAUUGUACCUUAACUUCAGUUCUUGGAAGUACAAAAUAAACCACACUCUUUAUUUAUGUGGAGCCCUUUAGACGCUGGAAUGUUCCAUACCAGAACUGUUCUGAAUAUUUUA